UUGACAUUUUUUUGUUUUUCUGUGUAUCGAUCUUUAUCUUCUUCUGUCUUCUAGAGUCGUCUAAUCUAAAUUGAGAGAGUGGGUUGCUUUGUCUCUUUUCUACAGCUGUGAUCUAAAUUGGGAGUGUGAUCUGGAUUUCUAUAAUCAGUGGAUUGCUUCUUUUCUCUGCGGUCGUUUAAGGAGGAUUGAGAGGUCGAUUUUUUUGUUUUGAUUUGUGAAUUUGGAUUUGGUUCAUUCUUUUGUGCUUACGAUCUUCUGUGAUUUAGAUUUUGUGAUUGGCUUCUGGUGCAGGUUUUUGUUGCAUCUUUUGCAUUGGUUGGGUUAUAGUUUGAAAAAGGUUUAUUUGGGUGGUUAUGACAAUUGACAAAGAAGACAAAGUGGCUAGAGCUUAUGACUUAGCAGCAUUGAAAUAUUGGGGCACCAGUCCCACAACCACUACCAACUUCCCGAUGAGUGCAUAUAUGAUAUAUUCUGAUCAGUAGCUAUGAGAACAAGAUUGAUGAAAUGAAGCCCAUGACAAGACAGGAGUAUGUUCCAUCUUUGAGGAGAAAGGAAACCCCUCAUCAUUCUUAUAAUUUGGACAAUCAUAUGCAUCAGUUCAAGGGAAGUAGCGCAAGGAAAAC